rnacentral:rRNA from 1 species
GAUGAACGCUGGCGGCGUGCCUAAUACAUGCCAGUCGAGCGAACAGACGAGGAGCUUGCUCCUCUGACGUUAGCGGCGGACGGGUGAGUAACACGUGGAUAACCUACCUAUAAGACUGGGAUAACUUCGGGAAACCGGAGCUAAUACCGGAUAAUAUAUUGAACCGCAUGGUUCAAUAGUGAAAGACGGUUUUGCUGUCACUUAUAGAUGGAUCCGCGCCGCAUUAGCUAGUUGGUAAGGUAACGGCUUACCAAGGCAACGAUGCGUAGCCGACCUGAGAGGGUGAUCGGCCACACUGGAACUGAGACACGGUCCAGACUCCUACGGGAGGCAGCAGUAGGGAAUCUUCCGCAAUGGGCGAAAGCUUGACGGAGCAACGCCGCGUGAGUGAUGAAGGUCUUCGGAUCGUAAAACUCUGCUAUUAGGGAAGAACAAAUGUGUAAGUAACUAUGCACGUCUUGACGGUACCUAAUCAGAAAGCCACGGCUAACUACGUG